UGUGGUGGCUCACGCCUGUAAUCCCAGCACUUUGGGAGGCUGAGGCGGGUGGAUCACGAGGUCAGGAGUUCAAGACCAGCCUGACGAACAUUGUGAAACCCCGUCUCUACUAAAAAUACAAAAAUUAGCCGAGUGUGGCAGCGGGUGCCUAUAGUCCCAGCUAUUCAGGAGGCUGAGGCAGGAGAAUCAUUGCUUGAACCUGGGAGGUGGAGGUUGCGGUGAGCCAAGAUUGCGCCAUUGCACUGAAGCCUGGGGCAACAAGAGUGAAACUCUGUCUCAUUUUAUGCAUUUUAUGUGAGUUUUUUAAUGCUGGCAUUUUAUGCUACAUAUAUCUUAGUAUUUUAUGAUACAUAUAAAGCAUGGUACCAGCAUUUUUCCAGCAUUUUAUGAUACAUAUAAAGCAUGGUACCGGCCAGGCGUGGUGGCUUAUGCCUGUAAGCCCAGCACUUUGGGAGGCCGAGGUGAGUGCAUCACCCAAGGUCAGGAGUCUGAGACCAGCCUGACCAACAUGGUGAAACCCGGUCUCUAAUGAAAAUACAUAAAUUAGCCAGACAUGGGGGCACUUGCCUGUAAUCCUAGCUACUUGGGAGGCUGAGAGAGGAGAAUUGCUUGAACCCGGGAGGUGGAGGUUGCAGUGAGCCGACAUCGAGCCACUGCACUCCAGCUCGGGCGACAGACAAGACUCCAUCUCAAAAAAAAAAAAAAAAACAAAGCGUGGUAUCUACUGAUCUGAAUUUACUUUUUGAAUUUCCAGUUCAAAACAUGAUAAACACAUGUAUGUUUUAAAGAAAAAUAAACUUGUCAAUGUAAAUUGUGGCUGUCAUCCUAAAAUAGCUGGUUGAAAGGGAAGUAAAUUAAAAGAUAAUAUAUACAUACAAAAGAAGAGGGGAUGAGGGUCCCCUUCCUGCCACCCUGUCCCCCCACCUUGAAGUGGCUGGCAUUGAGAAAUGAAGCAAGGGCAGAAGGAAUUCCAAACAUACUUGGCCUUUAAGACCUAUAAAAAGGAGGCAUGCUAUUUAUAUAUGACCUACUUACAAAUACCCCUCAUUUGAAGUAGCUGCUCAGGACAGCCAUCAGAACUUAAUUCUGGAUAUUCUAGAUUCUCACAGCUCCAGCAGUAAAAAGCCGUUUCCCCUGGAAACAUGAUUAUACAUUGUGGUUAGUUUCUACAGUACUGAUAUCUGGCGCUAUACUCAAGUUCACAGUCUUUCACGGCUAAUCUGAAACUUGUGAGAGAAAAAUCCACUAUUAGUUUAUAAAAAGGUUAAAACAUCCACUAAAGUACAGAAAAACCAUAAGUAACUCCAUGUAUUCCAUAUACCUACCCCACAGAUUCCAUAAUUGUCAAGACUUUGCCACAUUGGCUUUUCUUAUGUCAUUUUUCUUUUUCCCUGAGGCAUCAUAAAGCAAAUUUCAGGCAUUGUCAUUUCAGUCCUACUACUUCAGUUUGCAGCUCUUAUCUGCAUGAGUAUUCUCAUAGCUGUAAACUAAAAAUAAAAUCCUAAGCCCUCCAGCAACCAACUGAAUGAAACCCUCCCCAAUGGGCCAAGGGGACCCCAGAGCAACCUAAAAAACUGAAGCCCCAGCCAUGACGGGAAGGGAGGCUGGACAUGCCUCAUUACACCCCUUCUUUUUGGAGUUUAGGCACCCCUGACCAGCAUUAACAUUAAGACAGAGAUCAUAAGACUGAAAAACUGACUUUGUGGCACUAAGAUACCAAAUUCCAACCUGACUCUGGUAUAGCAUCACAUGACAGAAAACCCUGAAGGACAUAAAAAUAUUUUACCCCAAAAUAUAUUUCUUUGCCAUCCUUUGAAAUGGCCCCGAAAGCUGUCUUUGCUGGGGGAAAUUUGUGUCUGUAGGCAAUCUCCAUUAAUGCAACUAGGCCAUUGCUGGAUCUAGGGGAGAUGAACUAAGAGUCUGAUACAUUUUAAGGUCUGGAAAGCAACAUUUAUUUUCUUUUUUAAAGAAAAUAUUUUUCCUAUUUUAAAGAAAAUAGGAAAACAACCUAUUUCCUUUAAAGGAUGUUACCUGGAGUCUUCAUCUACAUAACAAGAACCUUCAUCUUCACAAUCCCCCUUAUCAUAAUUCAAGCAUCUCUUUCCACUGACUUCAAGUCCUGAGAUAGAGCAUAACUCUUUCAACCAACUGCCAGUCAGAAAAUCUUUGAAUCCACCUGUAAGGUCCCAUUCCAAGAUAUAUCCUGCCUCUUUAGGCUGAACCAAUGUACACCUUUCAUUUAUUGACUUAUGAUUUUCCCUACAAUUCCGGUUUGCCUUGAAUGUGUGAAACCAACCUGUAACCUGACGGCCUCAGGCACAUUUUUCUCAGGACCUCUUGAGACUGUCCCCCAACCCCUGGCCAUGGUCACCCAUAUUGGCUUAGAAUAAACCUCUUUAAAUAUUUUACAGAGUUUGGUUUUUCCAUCAACAUAGCUAACCUUCAUGAGUUUAACACACCUAACCUUAAACUAUAAUUAUUUUGUGUCAUCUAAAAGCAGUCAGUAAUGAAAUCACCCCUGUUGUCUCGAACAUGCCGUUUUGUUCAGAUGGUUUAUUUAAGAAUUCAAAGAAGGUGCACAGGUUACAUUUGAUGGUUGUGUCUGUUAAAACUUAAUCUGGGCUGGGCUUGGUGGCUAAUGCCUGUAAUCCUAACACUUUGGGAUGCUGAGGCUGGUGGAUCACCUGAGGUCAGGAGUUCAAGACCAGCCUGGCCAACAUGCCGAAACCCCAUCUGUACUAAAUAUACAAAAAUUAGCCGGGCAUGGUGGUGCACGCCUGUAAUCCCAGUUACUCAGGAGGCUGAGGUAGGAGAAUUGCUUGAACCGGGGAGGUGGAGGUUGCAGUGAGCCGAGAUCACGCCACUGCACUCCAGCCUGUGCAAUAAGAGCAAGAUUCCAUCCCAAAACAAAACAAAAAAAAAAACAAAAAAAAAACUUAAUCUGGAGCAACCCCCUUCUCUACCUCCCCCUUUUACAUGCUCCUAAUUUGUUACUUAAGCUGGUUCUGUUUUCUUACAGAACAUAAGAUGUUCAGCAUUUGCUUCUUUGUUUCUUUGUUGUAUUAUUAAAUUGCUCCUUUGCACCCCCAAAUGCAUGUUCCAAUUGGAUAGUGUCAGUUUCCUGUACAUUAAUACUUUCCUUGAGCAUAAACAAAUAAGAUGAAGGAAUCUAGUGGGAUGAACACAAGCUAUUUUUUUAAAAGACAGGCAGAAAUGUAUUUUAAUGAUACUUUACCACUUUCUUGCUGUGUAACUUUGAAUACAUUAUUUAAGCUCUCCAAGUUAGUUUCAUUGGUUUCCUUAUGAGUAUGCCAAUAAUUUCCUGGAGUUGCUAUGAAGAUUAAACACAGUCUGUAAGAGACCAAAUGCAAUGCCAAGCACAUAUGAUAAGCUCGAUAAAACUGGCAGCUAUUUAUAGAGUUAUUUCAGUGUACCCCAACUCCCGUUUUUGGUAAGCGUCUCCUAAAGGACAAAUCUGCUUGCUACAAUUAUCAAGACUUUUGAUUUAUUUCCCAUAUCUUACUAAUUAUGAAAAGAACAGCUGGCUAUCUUUUAGAAGAAUCUAAAUUAUGAG
rnacentral:lncRNA from 1 species